GCCGGGCACGGUGGCGCACACCUGUGAUCCCAGCAGCUCUGGAGGCUGAGGCAGGAGGAUCGCAAGGUGGAGGCCAGCCUCAGCAACUGAGCAAGGCCCUAAGCAACUUGGUGAGACCCUGUCUCUA
rnacentral:sRNA from 1 species